AGUUAAAACCUCUUGGGAGCUUCUGAGGACUCAGCUGGAACCAACGGGCACAGUUGGCAACACCAUCAUGACAUCACAACCUGUUCCCAAUGAGACCAUCAUAGUGCUCCCAUCAAAUGUCAUCAACUUCUCCCAAGCAGAGAAAUCUGAACCCACCAACCAGGGGCAGGAUAGCCUGAAGAAACAUCUACACACAGAAAUCAAAGUUAUUGGGUUUAUCAUCUCUGGCUCUCUAUCAAUCGCCACAGAGAAAAGGUUAACCAAGCUUUUGGUGAGUAAGAGAGCUAUAACCCACAACCCAAUGGAUCAAAAUAAAACUUAGACAGAACUCUUUAAGGCUAGUCUUUCUACUUUGAAAAGUUGAAAACUCAGUUCCAGAGCAGCUGGUUGUUGUUAGAAUUAGGAGCCGGGCCUGGAUCCUCUGUAUCCUUGUUCAGAGCACAUUUCUCCAAUUAUUGUACCCUACAUCAAAGUCUGCAUUCAGGGGAUUAUAAUAUUCCCUCUGCCCAUGCCGAAGAAUCUAUCACAGAGAAAUUGUGCCUGUUUAUGAUG
rnacentral:sRNA from 1 species